AAUAACAAAUUAUCACAAUCGUUUGGUUGUGGAAUUGGGCCCUUAUUUCGAACAGACUUAUGGCCUUAAAUUUACGCCGUGCGCUUAAUUCGAACCAAGCGGAGCAAUUAAACAUUCUCUCGUUAUACGGAUUAAUCGCAAGCGUCACGAUCCUUUGGACGACGAAAAGCGCUUUCGCGAGCGCGAAGCCCAAGAUCGUAAAUCAAUUAUUGAC
rnacentral:misc_RNA from 1 species